CGGCGAGUGAAGCGGCAACAGCUCAAAUUUGAAAUCUGGCCCUAGCGGUCCGAGUUGUAAUUUGUAGAGGAUGCUUUUGGUUAGGUGCCUUCCGAGUUCCCUGGAACGGGACGCCAGAGAGGGUGAGAGCCCCGUACGGUUGGACACCGAGCCUCUAUAUAGCUCCUUCGACGAGUCGAGUAGUUUGGGAAUGCUGCUCUAAAUGGGAGGUAAAUUUCUUCUAAAGCUAAAUACCGGCCAGAGACCGAUAGCGCACAAGUAGAGUGAUCGAAAGAUGAAAAGUACUUUGAAAAGAGGGUUAAAUAGCACGUGAAAUUGUUGAAAGGGAAGCGUUUGCGACCAGACUUUUUCCAGGCGGAUCAUCCGGUGUUCUCACCGGUGCACUUCGCCUGGUUUAGGCCAGCAUCGGUUCCCUUAGGGGGAUAAAGGCCUGGGGAACGUAGCUCCUUCGGGAGUGUUAUAGCCCCUAGCGUAAUACCCUUCGGGGGACCGAGGAACGCGCAUCUGCAAGGAUGCUGGCGUAAUGGUCGUCAACGACCCGUCUUGAAACACGGACCAAGGAGUCGAACAUUUGUG
rnacentral:rRNA from 1 species